UUCCUGCACUUUACCAGAAAUUUCUGAAAUUGUGAAACAAAUGCUGCUUCAAACAAAGCAUUCAAAGCUCACGAUUGCCCAUUUGCACAAAAUAAUUGUGUAUUUAUUAGGAAGUCGUGCUAUCUGAAACAAGCCAUGGAAACCUGAUAAUCCUGUAGCAUUUUUUCAAAGCACGAUCAAAGCAGACUACAAAAAGUAUGGUGUCUGUCUCUUUAAGAUAACAAGAAGUCUGAUUUCAUUCAGGGCAAAGCAACAGGCCCACGUAUCAGCAGCAGUCCAAUUCUGACUGUACUGACAGUGACUGGAUUAAUCCAUCAUGUCAUCAGUACUCUGAUGGCUGUACCAGUGCCUUGUCUCUGUAUGAGUACGAAGAAAACUGUGGCAAGCUAGGAGGCGAUUAUUCAAGCGACUGCCGGUGACUGUCAGAGUGGAACACAUACACACAUCGCUUCCUUCACCAGCUCGUUAUGCAAGCGGGGGACAGGGCAAGUGGGGGAAGCACUGUCUGAAUGAAAUCCACAUGAUGCAAAGCCAAGGUGAUACAGACACACAACGCAAUGAACAGGAAGAUUCUGACUGACCUGAUGAGUUGAAGCACCAAUUUUUUUUUUUUGCACAAAAUUAUCAGCAUCCGCAGUCUCUUGUGCCUUCAUCACCUUGCUUAGUUGUACUGCACCUACCAUUUUGUUAUUUUUCUUUUCUUUUUAAUUUUAACAUAUGCACACUUUUUAUUCAAAGUAAUUUUGCUUUAAGUAUGACUGAAUCCAGAAUCAGGCCCAGAACCAGCAGCACAUAUGAGUGGCUGCAGAAUUUACAAUGCUGGUUUGAACAAUGAUUGUUAUUUUAAGACUGUCAUCGCUUUAAGGGUAGUGUCAGGUGCCUAACUGCUGUCUGAGUUGCAACAAUGUUUUGUCGAGGAUUGUGAGAGACUCUCUGUGAUGAGCUGUUGAAUAAAGCAACACACAAAGCUUUCAGCUUCUGCAGUUUCUUACGUCUGUUGUAUAAAGCACCUUUGUUUGAGCUCCUCAUGUCUCCGCUGUUUCACUCUGUGUACAUUUGGCACUGGAACACAUACUUAACAGCGGUGAGGCUUCCUGGAGGUGUGAACCAGUUUCAGCUUUGCUUCAACGUUAAACGUGUGAAGUGUAAAUUGGGGAUUUAAUGUGGAUUAAGUGCUGCCUUGUGUGGCCAUUUUCUUCAAGAUGGCUUUAACCACAAGAACUGUCAUAAACACAUUUAGAGAUAGAAGACCUACAUUUUGUAGUGGCCUUCUUAAUGUUCAGUGCCUUAAAAUGUAAACACUAUUGCCAAGAUUGAAAAUGGGAAUAAUUUUGUAAGCAGCAAACUCACAUGAAAAACCAAUAUGAGAAGAACCAGAUCAAGGAUAAAUAUUGGACUGCACUAUCUUAAAUCUAGAUCCAUCAAAGUGGUUCAUUUUUAACAGUGUGUUCAAUUCUGGGGGCAAUUAAUGAUGGGCAAUAGAUGUCAGUGUUACCGACAUCAUCCACAUUCUUUGAGCCAAUAAAUAAGUGAAAACUCUAUUAACAUGGGAGCAUAGCAAAGGGCCUCAAUGAUGUCAUGAUCAUGACCAUCUUCAAGACUGGAGACAAAUAUGAUGUGGACCAUCUCCUCUCCUCCACCCAUUACAAGGGUCAUCCUCAACCAUUCAAUCUGAGCAUCUGAAGAGGUGCUCUUUGAAUUACAGAGUGGAUUCCAUCCAUCAAAAAGUACAAUGGACAAGAUCUUCUCUGAGUAACUUGAUCAAGUAAAAUGCAGAGAACAGCACCUUCACCAAAAACUUGUCUUCUUUGAACUCACAAAUACUUUGAAUGUGUCAAUGGUGAGUGAUUGUUGUCAAAUGUUCCACAAUUUGACCUAAAUCUCUCAUUUUAACAAUUUCUACAAAAUAACUUGCAAGGUACAUUUCUAAGCCAAAUGGUCCACAAUAGAAAGGUGCCCAAGAGAAGACUGUGUUAUAACCAUAUAACCAUAUAACAAUUACAACACGGAAACAGGCCAUCUCGACCCUUCUAGUCCGUGCCGAACACAUAUUCUCCCCUAGUCCCAUAUACCUGCGCUCAGACCAUAACCCUCCAUUCCUUUCCCGUCCAUAUAACUAUCCAAUUUAUUUUUAAAUGAUAAAAACGAACCUGCCUCCACCACCUUCACUGGAAGCUCAUUCCACACAGCCACCACUCUCUGAGUAAAGAAGUUCCCCCUCACGUUACCGCUAAACUUCUAUCCCUUAAUUCUCAAGUCAUGUCCCCGUGUUUGAAUCUUCCCUACUCUCAGUGGGAAAAGCUUUUCCACAUCAACUCUGUCUAUCCCUCUCAUCAUUUUAAAUACCUCUAUCAAGUCCCCCCUUAACCUUCUGCGCUCCAAAGAAUAAAGCCUUAACUUGUUCAACCUUUCUCUGUAACUUAGUUGCUGAAACCCAGGCAACAUUCUAGUAAAUCUCCUCUGUACGCUCUCUAUUUUGUUGACAUCCUUCCUAUAAUGAGGCGACCAAAAUUGUACACCAUACUCCAGAAUUGGCCUCACCAAUGCCUUGUACAAUUUUAACAUUACAUCCCAACUUCUAUACUCAAUGCUCUGAUUUAUAAAGGCCAGCACACCAAAAGCUUUCUUUACCACCCUAUCUACAUGAGAUUCCACUUUCAGGGAACUGUGCACAGUUAUUCCAAGAUCCCUCUGUUCACCUGCAUUCUUCAAUUCCCUACCAUUUACCAUGUACUUCCUAUUUUGAUUUGUCCUGCCAAGAUGUAGCACCUCACACUUAUCAGCUCCAUCUGCCAUCUUUCAGCCCACUCUUCCAACUGGCAUAAAUCUCUCUGUAGACUUUGAAAAUCUACUUAAUUAUCCACAACCCCACCUAUCUUAGUAUCAUCUGCAUACUUAUUAAUCCAAUUUACCACACCAUCAUCCAGAUCAUUGAUGUACAUGGCAAACAACAGUGGACCCAACACAGAUCCCAACCUGCCAAACAACCAUCCACCAUUACUCUCUGGCAUCUCCCAUUCAGCCACUGUUGAAUCCAUCUUGCUACUCCACCAUUAAUACCCAACAAUUGAACCUUCUUAACCAACCUUCUGUGAGGAACCUUGUCAAAGGCCUUACUGAAGUCCAUUUAUACAACAUCCACUGCUUUACCCUCAUCAAUUUCCUGAGUAACCUAUUCAAAAAAUUCAAGAAGUUUAGUCAAACAUGACCUUCCAGGCACAAAUCCAUGUUGACUGUUCCUAAUCAGACCCUGUUUAUCCAGAUGCUUAUAUAUAUUAUCUCUAAGUAUCCUUUGCAUUAAUUUGCCCACCACUUAUGUCAAACUAACAGGUCUAUAAUUGCUAG